rnacentral:rRNA from 1 species
ACGUGAUCUGAGUUCAGACCGGAGUAAUCCAGGUCAGUUUCUAUCUAUACAGGGCUUUUUCUAGUACGAAAGGACCGAAAAAGCACGGCCUAUGCUUAAUGCAAGCCGCACUUACUAAUUUAUGAUUUAUACUUAAUAAAUAAAUAACCUCCCACCUUGCUCAAGAAAAGAGC